rnacentral:rRNA from 1 species
UAUCUCUGUAGAGUCUGCAUAUCAAUAAGCGGAGGAAAAGAAACUAACAAGGAUUCCCCUAGUAACGGCGAGUGAAGCGGGAAGAGCUCAAAUUUGAAAUCUUCAAGGUUUGACCUUGACGAAUUGUAGUUUAAAGAAGUGUUUUCGGUUAGAGGAGUAGUAAAAGUUCUUUGGAAUAGGACAUCAUAGAGGGUGAGAAUCCCGUAUUUGGUCAUUCCUCCUAGCGUUGUGAUACACUUUCAACGAGUCGGAUUGUUUGGGAAUGCAGUCCAAAAUGGGUGGUAAAUUUCAUCUAAAGCUAAAUAUUGGCGAGAGACCGAUAGCGAAACAAGUACCGUGAGGGAAAGAUGAAAAGAACUUUGAAAAGAGAGUUAAACAGUACGUGAAAUUGUCAAAAGGGAAGCGUUUGACACCAGUGUUGUUUUUCCGAAAAUCAAUUAAAAAUUGAUUCAUGCCAGGUUGUAUUGACCUUAUCAGCUUGCAAUUUGGUUUUGGGUCUCUUUUUGAUGCACUUUUCGGUUAACAAGUCAACAUCAAUUUCCUUUGCUGUAAAAAGGUAAGAGGAAGGUGGCUUCAAUUUCGGUUGAAGUGUUUAUAGCCUUUUAUCUCUGCAGUCGGGGAGAUUGAGGUCUGCAGCGUAGAUCCUUCGGGGCUAGAUACAUUUAUGCUAAGUUAUAGCUUUUCAUAGACAACUUGUUGACUAUGUUUAGUCAUGUAGCUUACUCGUAAGUGCUAUUUUACCUACGCUUAGGAUGUUGAAGACUCUACAGAGAU